UACAGAGGGGGCAAGCGUUGUUCGGAAUUACUGGGCGUAAAGGGCGCGUAGGCGGCCUGUUAAGUCGGACGUGAAAUCCCUCGGCUCAACCGGGGGAACUGCGUCCGAUACUGGCGGGCUUGAAUUCGGGAGAGGGAUGUGGAAUUCCAGGUGUAGCGGUGAAAUGCGUAGAUAUCUGGAGGAACACCGGUGGCGAAGGCGGCAUCCUGGACC
rnacentral:rRNA from 1 species